UCCCUGUUACCAGGGCAGUCUGAAUAGAAAAAUCCAACUAUUCACAAGGGUUGCGCUCGUUAAUGGACUUAACCAAACAUCUCACGACACGAGCUGACGACGGCCAUGCAUCACCUGUCACUUGGUUCCCGAAGGCACCAUCUUCUUUCGAAGUUGUUCCAAGGAUGUCAAGCCUGGGUAAGGUUCUUCGCUUACCAUCGAAUUAAACAACACGCUCCACCGCUUGUGCGGGUCCCCGUCAAUUCCUUUAUGUUUUAGCCUUGCGGCCGUACUCCACAGGCGGGAUGCUUAACGCGUUAGCUUCGCUACUGAAGGGGUCGAUACCUCCAACAGCUAGCAUCCAUAGUUUACGGCGUGGACUAC
rnacentral:misc_RNA from 1 species